AUGGGGGAACCCCCGCCCAAGCUCCGGGCAGCCGCCGCGACGUCGUGGCCGGAGCUGCUCGCGCCAUUCGACCUCUCUCGCCUCCGAUCCACGCUCUCCUCCCGCCCGCUCACCCCGCACCGUCUCGGGCGCCUCCUCGCGCUGCCGCUGUCCCCGGCCACCUCCCUCCUCCUCCUCCAGUGGUACGCCGCCUCCCACCCCGUCCUCUCGUCGCACCCCCUCCGCCCCUUGCUCGCCGCCGCCGACGCAGACCCAGAGCGCGCGCUCUCCCUCCUUGAAUCCCUCCCCUCCUCCCGCCACCCCCCUCUCCGGGAGACCCUCCUCAUACCGCUCCUGCGCUCCUUGCCCCCUGGCCGCGCCCUCCACCUGCUCGACCAGUUGCCCAGCCGCUUCGCCGUCUCGCCGUCCUUCCGCUCGUACAACACCGUCCUCGCGGCACUGGCCAGGGCGAACUGCCACGCCGAUGUGCUCGCGCUCUACCGCCGUAUGGUCCACCGGGACCGCAUCCCGCCCUCCACCUUUACCUUCGGUGUCGCUGCGCGCGCGCUCUGCCGCCUCGGACGUGCUGAUGAGGCGCUCGCGAUGCUCCGCAGCAUGGCGCGGCAUGGGUGUGUGCCCGAUGUGGUGCUCUAUCAGACGGUCAUCCACGCCCUGUGUGAGCAGGGUGAGGUCGCCGAGGCUACCACGCUCCUUGAUGAGAUGUUCCUCAUGGGGUGCUCUGCUGAUGUCAACACGUUCAAUGACAUUGUGCACGGGCUAUGCAUGCUUGGGCGUCUCCGCGAUGCUGCGAGGCUUGUGGACAGGAUGAUGAUAAGAGGCCGCGUGCCAAACACCAUGACAUACGGGUUCCUUAUCCAGGGCCUGUGCCGAGCAAGGCAGGUGGAUGAGGCACGCACAAUGCUCGGGAGGGUGCCGGAGUUGAAUGUCGUGUUAUUUAACACGGUGAUUGGCGGAUGUCUUUUGGAUGGGAAGCUAACAGAGGCGACGGAGCUGUAUGAGAUAAUGGGAUCAAAAGGCUGCCCACCAGAUGCACACACUUACAGUAUAUUGAUACAUGGGCUUUGCAAGCUUGGGAGGCUUGGUUCGGCCAUGCGGUUGCUUAGAGAGAUGGAGGAUAAGGGUUGUGCUCCAAACUUAGUGACCUACACGAUCUUGCUGCAUGCUUUUUGCAGGAAUGGCAUGUGGGAUGACAUGAGAGCAACGCUGAAGGUAAUGUUGGCAAAUGGCUUGAGUCUGAAUUCUCAAGGAUACAAUGGAAUGAUUUAUGCUGUAUGUAAGGAAGGCAGGAUGGAUGACGCGAUGUCACUCGUGCAAGAGAUGAAGAGUGAAGGCUGCAAGCCUGAUAUCUGCACGUAUAAUACAAUAAUUUAUCAUCUCUGCAACAAUGGCCAGAUCGAGGAGGCCGUGUAUCUAUUUGAAAAUUUGGUUGACGAGGGUGUUGUUGCGAAUAGAAUAACUUAUAAUACACUCAUUCAUGCACUGUUGUGCAAAGGAAGUUUGCAGGAUGCCAUACGCCUUGCAAAUGAAAUGGUACUUCAUGGUUGUUCGCUUGAUGUUGUUAGCUACAAUGGUCUGAUUAAAGCCCUGUGCAGAGAUGGGAAUGUUGAUCGGAGCAUGGUGUUGCUCGCAGAAAUGAUAGAAAAGGGAAUUAAGCCAAAUAACAUUUCAUACAACCUCUUGAUUAGUGAGCUCUGCAAGACAAGAAGGGUGCGUGAUGCACUAGAGCUCUCAAAGGAGAUGUUAAACCAAGGGCUUACUCCUGACAUUGUCACAUACAACACACUCAUAAAUGGAUUGUGCAAAAUGGGAUGGAUGCAUGCUGCGCUGAAUCUCCUAGAGAAGUUACAUUCUGAAAAUGUGCAUGCAGAUACUAUUACAUACAAUAUCCUCAUUAGUUGGCACUGCAAAGCGAGAUUGCUUGAUGACGCUAAUAUGCUUCUAAACAGAGCAGUGACUGUUGGGAUAACACCUAACGAGCGCACUUGGGGAAUUAUGGUGCAAAAUUUUGUUAGACAGCCACUCAAUUUUUUAUCCGAUGAGGUUGAAGGGCAUUAA
rnacentral:rRNA from 1 species